rnacentral:rRNA from 1 species
UACGGAGGGUGCGAGCGUUGUCCGGAAUCAUUGGGCGUAAAGGGCGCGUAGGUGGCCCGGUCAGUUCGUGGUGAAAGCGCGGGGCUCAACCCUGGGAUGCCGGUCGAUACUGCCGGACUAGAGUUCGGAAGAGGCGAGUGGAAUUCCCGGUGUAGCGGUGAAAUGCGCAGAUAUCGGGAGGAACACCUAUGGCGAAGGCAGCUCGCUGGGACGUUACUGACGCUGAGACGCGAAAGCGUGGGGAGCAAACAGG